rnacentral:lncRNA from 1 species
GUGUAAAUAAAGUUAGUUUACGCGCGUGUAAAGGAUACUCCAUUUAAUCAUUCAAUUUCAUAUUUUUAAUUCAGGUCUCAACAGAACUCAAGACAACAAGAGCUGACGUCAACAUUUACCAUGGUUACAUAAUACAAGACUCGUACCAGGUCACUGCGCCGAGACAACUGAACCCUUGCAAAAUAUUGAGAGAUUACGCAAUAACAAACCAACUUCACUCGUUCCAGUUUUUUCGAGUACUCGGUCAAAG